UCCCUGGUGGUCCAGUGGCUAAGACGCUGAGCUCCCAAUGCAGAGGGCCCAGGUUUGAUACCUGGUCAGGGAA
rnacentral:tRNA from 1 species